rnacentral:rRNA from 1 species
AGAGUUUGAUCCUGGCUCAGAGCGAACGCUGGCGGCAGGCUUAACACAUGCAAGUCGAGCGGGCGUAGCAAUACGUCAGCGGCAGACGGGUGAGUAACGCGUGGGAACGUACCUUUUGGUUCGGAACAACCCAGGGAAACUUGGGCUAAUACCGGAUAAGCCCUUACGGGGAAAGAUUUAUCGCCGAAAGAUCGGCCCGCGUCUGAUUAGCUAGUUGGUGAGGUAACGGCUCACCNGGCGACGAUCAGUAGCUGGUCUGAGAGGAUGAUCAGCCACAUUGGGACUGAGACACGGCCCAAACUCCUACGGGAGGCAGCAGUGGGGAAUAUUGGACAAUGGGCGCAAGCCUGAUCCAGCCAUGCCGCGUGAGUGAUGAAGGCCCUAGGGUUGUAAAGCUCUUUUGUGCGGGAAGAUAAUGACGGUACCGCAAGAAUAAGCCCCGGCUAACUUCGUGCCAGCAGCCGCGGUAAUACGAAGGGGGCUAGCGUUGCUCGGAAUCACUGGGCGUAAAGGGUGCGUAGGCGGGUCUUUAAGUCAGGGGUGAAAUCCUGGAGCUCAACUCCAGAACUGCCUUUGAUACUGAAGAUCUUGAGUUCGGGAGAGGUGAGUGGAACUGCGAGUGUAGAGGUGAAAUUCGUAGAUAUUCGCAAGAACACCAGUGGCGAAGGCGGCUCACUGGCCCGAUACUGACGCUGAGGCACGAAAGCGUGGGGAGCAAACAGGAUUAGAUACCCUAGUAGUCC